CUUCCCAUCUUUUGACUGGGGCGGUACACCUGUCAAAGCGUAACGCAGGUGUCCUAAGGCUAGCUCAGGGAGGACGGAAACCUCCCGUGGAGCAGAAGGGCAAAAGCUCGCUUGAUCUUGAUUUUCAGUACGAAUACAGACCGUGAAAGCGGGGCCUCACGAUCCUUCUGGCUUUUUGGGUUUUAAGCAGGA